AUGAGCGCCUGUCCUCCCCAUUCCCUUUGCCUUAGCGCGAGCCGCCGUGCGCCAGUCGGCGCGGUCGGCAUGGACCCCGGCUACGUGGACUCGGCAAGGGAAAGGCGCUCUGCAGCAGAAGUGAGCCGCUGGUUCCGGUAGUCGGAACGGCGGCUUUUUUA
rnacentral:ncRNA from 1 species